UAACUAUUGAGCAUCAUAUAUGUGGGACAUAGACAGACUAGAUUAAAAAUAAAGGAGGCUUAGUUAGCUAGACCAGGUGAGUGCAGGUGAGAUUGUACCGUAUCAGGGUAAAUACAACUUGCCAGCGAGGUAUAACCAUUGAGGGUAGAGAUGGAAAACCCAUUAGACUUAUAUCUCGAUAAAAAAGAAACAAGUAAUAUGUGAACACCCCAAGACACCCACGACAGGUGAGUGAGUAGUAAUGCCCCUAGUAGAGUUGAAAGGCAUGGUUAA